rnacentral:rRNA from 1 species
ACACUAGACUGAUGAGUUGCGAACGGGUGAGUAACGCGUAGGUAACCUGCCUCAUAGCGGGGGAUAACUAUUGGAAACGAUAGCUAAUACCGCAUAACAAUGUUGGAUGCAUAUUCGACAUUUGAAAGUACCAACUGGUACACUGAGAGAUGGACCCGCGUUGUAUUAGCUAGUUGGUAGUGUAAUGGACUACCAAGGCGAUGAUACAUAGCCGACCUGAGAGGGUGAUCGGCCACAUUGGGACUGAGACACGGCCCAAACUCCUACGGGAGGCAGCAGUAGGGAAUCUUCGGCAAUGGACGAAAGUCUGACCGAGCAACGCCGCGUGAGUGAAGAAGGUUUUCGGAUCGUAAAACUCUGUUGUUAGAGAAGAAUGUUGCAUAGAGUGGAAAAUUAUGCAAGUGACGGUAUCUAACCAGAAAGGGACGGCUAACUACGUGCCAGCAGCCGCGGUAAUACGUAGGUCCCGAGCGUUGUCCGGAUUUAUUGGGCGUAAAGCGAGCGCAGGUGGUUUAAUAAGUCUGAUGUAAAAGGCAGUGGCUCAACCAUUGUGUGCAUUGGAAACUGUUAGACUUGAGUGCAGUAGAGGAGAGUGGAAUUCCAUGUGUAGCGGUGAAAUGCGUAGAUAUAUGGAGGAACACCGGUGGCGAAAGCGGCUCUCUGGACUGUCACUGACACUGAGGCUCGAAAGCGUGGGUAGCAAACA